GGACAGAAAGACCCUAUGAAGCUUGACUGUAUCCUGGAAUUGGGUUUGGGCUUUUCUUGCGCAGUCUAGGUGGGAGGCUAUGAAGAUUUCCUUCUGGGGAAGUUGGAGCCAUCAGUGAGAGACCACUCUGGAGAGGCUAGAAUCCUAAUGGUGAUCCUUGAAUCAGGACACUUGACAGUUUCAGGUGGGCAGUUUUUCUGGGGCGGAAGCCUCAUAAAGGGUAACUGAGGCGCGCAAAGGUCCCCUCAGUCUGGACGGAAAUCAGACAACGAGUGUAAAGGCAAAAGGGGGCUUGACUGCAAGACCUACAAGUCGAGCAGGAGCGAAAGCUGGCCUUAGUGAUCCGACGGUACCGUGUGGAAGGGCCGUCGCUCA
rnacentral:rRNA from 1 species